CGAGUUGAAAGGGCAGAUUCUUCAGGAUGCAGUGGAAGAUAUGCAACAAUAUGUAACGAAGAUAAGAAAUUCAUGGGCAAGUACGGGAUGUAGCAUCUUGCUAGAUGGAUGGGUAGAUUCAAAGGGUCGAAAUCUGAUUAAUAUCCUAGUUUACUGCCCAAGAGGCACCAUUUACCUUCGGUCGUCAGAUAUCUCAUCUAUCAAUAGCAAUGUUGAUGCCAUGCAAGUGUUCUUCGAGGAAGUUAUGUUUACCUUCGAUCGUCUGAUAUUUCAUCUAUCAAUAGCAAUGUUGAAGCCAUGCAAGUGUUCUUUGAGGAAGUUAUUGAGGAAGUUGGAGUUGAAAAUGUAGUCCAAAUAGUUGCAAGCUCGACAUCUGCUGCCUGCAUGAUG
rnacentral:lncRNA from 1 species